rnacentral:lncRNA from 1 species
AUUCACCUACCACUACAUCCACUCAUUUCACCCAACACAUCCAUUCACCUACCACUACAUACACUCAUUUCACCCAACACAUCCACUCAUUACAACCACCCAACACAUUCACCUACCACUAUAUCCACUCAUUACCACCACCCACUACAUCCUCUCCUUAGCCUAUAAAUACAUCCAUCCACCCUUCACCAUAGGGGGAGAGAAAAAAUCCAUCCAAAGACACUACAUUCACAUCUCACAACUCCAUUCCUCCAUACAAGCAAACCUUAAAACACUCACCAACACCUUGUGCCGUAG